CUCAAACAAACCUCAAAACCAUAUUUUAUUUGCAUAGAACAUCCCUUCUUCCCCUUCGACUACAGAAUAGGCAAAUUAAUGGUAACAAGACCACUUGAAUUAGUCGACAAAGACAUCCUUUUGGUAUCAUCACAUUAAGAUAACAGACUACUGAGAAAAGUUUGAAUUCAGCACAGCUUAAAGGAGUUUAGCAACCUUUGUGGGUUUAUCUCUUUUUUCUUUUUUUCUUUUUUUUUGAUACCCAGGUGUCUUAACUUCGCCAGACUAAAUCCUAG
rnacentral:lncRNA from 1 species